rnacentral:rRNA from 1 species
GAUGAACGCUGGCGGCGUGCCUAAUACAUGCAAGUCGAGCGAACAGACGAGGAGCUUGCUCCUCUGACGUUAGCGGCGGACGGGUGAGUAACACGUGGUUAACCUACCUAUAAGACUGGGAUAACUUCGGGAAACCGGAGCUAAUACCGGAUAACAUGUUGAACCGCAUGGUUCAACAGUGAAAGACGGUCUUGCUGUCACUUAUAGAUGGAUCCGCGCCGCAUUAGCUAGUUGGUAAGGUAACGGCUUACCAAGGCAACGAUGCGUAGCCGACCUGAGAGGGUGAUCGGCCACACUGGAACUGAGACACGGUCCAGACUCCUACGGGAGGCAGCAGUAGGGAAUCUUCCGCAAUGGGCGAAAGCCUGACGGAGCAACGCCGCGUGAGUGAAGAAGGUCUUCGGAUCGUAAAACUCUGUUAUUAGGGAAGAACAAAUGUGUAAGUAACUAUGCACGUCUUGACGGUACCUAAUCAGAAAGCCACGGCUAACUACGU